rnacentral:rRNA from 1 species
AUGCGAUGUUGUUUAGCCAAGUGUCAUAUAUGUGAAUUAUAUCAUGCCGUCCUUUUUUCGUAUUUCUCAUUGCAUUUGUCGACAAUGUUUGUAUAUUCAACUGCUCUUCCUGUGCAUCAGCCAUUUGAAUCGGUGAUGGAGAAAUCUGGAGUGAAAACAAGGUCUUCAGAGCAGACAAUGCUACCUGCUGAAGCAGAUAUCUUGUUGGUUACAGAUAGCUCUUUAGAGGAGGAUUCAGAGGCAGAUGACCAGUCCUAUUAUCCCCCUGAGCCAUUUCAAUUGGAGGGGGUGAUGGCAGUAUCUGUGGGAGUAAAAACACGGUCUUCAGAAAAGAUUGUGCUACCUGUCGAUGCAUAUAGAACCACAGUUGUACUUGCCCAAGAACCAGCCCCAACACACAUAACUCAGACUCACACAGAUUGUACCCCUACCCAGUUGGACAGAGAACCAGCUACACCCCUUCUAACCCCAACCCUAGCAGAUAGUAACCCAGUUCCAGUUGACACAACACCGUCUCCACCACAGAGCACCCAAACACGAGCAGUUAGUAAGGCAACUGCAGCGCCCAAAGCACGAGGACAACCACUCCGAACCCCAAGUCAACGCUUAAAGCAGAAGAAGAAUUGUUCUCAGAACAUUGAUAAAAUAUUGGAGAAGAGUACCCCGUUAUGCAAUGGUAAAGGAAGUAAUGCAGACAAGGUUCAAGAUAGUGAGACAUCCCUGUUGGUCUCCAAGAAAGCUGAUAAAAACUAUAUUGAAGACACCGAGACAACCCCAAAGUCAUGUCUUGAUGUAGUGUUCGAGUUACUGGCUACUACUGCUGGCACCAGCUCUUCGAACUCGCUGCCUGAAUCAGUUUGGCUUCUUGAGUCUCAACUUCAAGUUGAAAGACAUCAAUCAGAUGUUAUGCGACAGGAAGCCGAAGGACUGAGGAAGUCCCUGCAGAAUUUAGAUGCAUCCUUCUGGUGCAACAGCAAGUGCUGGAUGAUUUAA